CCUACGGGAGGCAGCAGUGAGGAAUAUUGGUCAAUGGACGAGAGUCUGAACCAGCCAAGUAGCGUGAAGGAUGACUGCCCUAUGGGUUGUAAACUUCUUUUAUAUAGGAAUAAAAUGUUCCACGUGUGGGAUUUUGUAUGUACCAUAUGAAUAAGGAUCGGCUAACUCCGUGCCAGCAGCCGCGGUAAUACGGAGGAUCCGAGCGUUAUCCGGAUUUAUUGGGUUUAAAGGGAGCGUAGGUGGAUUGUUAAGUCAGUUGUGAAAGUUUGCGGCUCAACCGUAAAAUUGCAGUUGAAACUGGCAGUCUUGAGUACAGUAGAGGUGGGCGGAAUUCGUGGUGUAGCGGUGAAAUGCUUAGAGAUCACGAAGAACUCCGAUUGCGAAGGCAGUUCACUGGACUGCAACUGACACUGAGGCUCGAAAGUGUGGGUAUCAAACAGGAUUAGAUACCCCUGUAGUC
rnacentral:rRNA from 1 species